rnacentral:rRNA from 1 species
UUGCACGCUGGCGGCAGGCCUCACACAUGCAAGUCGAACGGUAACAGGAAGAAGCUUGCUUCUUUGCUGACGAGUGGCGGACGGGUGAGUAAUGUCUGGGAAACUGCCUGAUGGAGGGGGAUAACUACUGGAAACGGUAGCUAAUACCGCAUAACGUCGCAAGACCAAAAAGGGGGACCUUCGGGCCUCUUGCCAUCGGAUGUGCCCAGAUGGGAUUAGCUAGUAGGUGGGGUAACGGCUCACCUAGGCGACGAUCCCUAGCUGGUCUGAGAGGAUGACCAGCCAAACUGGAACUGAGAAAAGGUCCAGACUCCUAAGGGAGGCAGCAGUUGGGAAUAUUGGACAAAGGGCGCAAGGCUGAUGCAGGCCUGCCGCGUGGAUGAAGAAGGCCUUCGGGUUUUAAAGUACUUUCAGCGGGGAGGAAGGGAGUAAAGUUAAUACCUUUGCUCAUUGACGUUACCCGCAGAAGAAGCACCGGCUAACUCCGUG